UUUUUCUCUGCUCAGGACGAACGCCGGCGGCGUGCCUAAUACAUGCAAGUCGAGCGGACAGAUGGGAGCUUGCUCCCUGAUGUUAGCGGCGGACGGGUGAGUAACACGUGGGUAACCUGCCUGUAAGACUGGGAUAACUCCGGGAAACCGGGGCUAAUACCGGAUGGUUGUUUGAACCGCAUGGUUCAAACAUAAAAGGUGGCUUCGGCUACCACUUACAGAUGGACCCGCGGCGCAUUAGCUAGUUGGUGAGGUAACGGCUCACCAAGGCAACGAUGCGUAGCCGACCUGAGAGGGUGAUCGGCCACACUGGGACUGAGACACGGCCCAGACUCCUACGGGAGGCAGCAGUAGGGAAUCUUCCGCAAUGGACGAAAGUCUGACGGAGCAACGCCGCGUGAGUGAUGAAGGUUUUCGGAUCGUAAAGCUCUGUUGUUAGGGAAGAACAAGUACCGUUCGAAUAGGGCGGUACCUUGACGGUACCUAACCAGAAAGCCACGGCUAACUACGUGCCAGCAGCCGCGGUAAUACGUAGGUGGCAAGCGUUGUCCGGAAUUAUUGGGCGUAAAGGGCUCCGCAGGCGGUUUCUUAAGUCUGAUGUGAAAGCCCCCGGCUCAACCGGGGAGGGUCAUUGGAAACUGGGGAACUUGAGUGCAGAAGAGGAGAGUGGAAUUCCACGUGUAGCGGUGAAAUGCGUAGAGAUGUGGAGGAACACCAGUGGCGAAGGCGACUCUCUGGUCUGUAACUGACGCUGAGGAGCGAAAGCGUGGGGAGCGAACAGGAUUAGAUACCCUGGUAGUCCACGCCGUAAACGAUGAGUGCUAAGUGUUAGGGGGUUUCCGCCCCUUAGUGCUGCAGCUAACGCAUAAGCACUCCGCCUGGAGACGUCCA
rnacentral:rRNA from 1 species